rnacentral:rRNA from 1 species
AUUGAACGCUGGCGGGAGGCUUAACACAUGCAAGUCGAGCGGAGAUGAGGUGCUUGCACCUUAUCUUAGCGGCGGACGGGUGAGUAAUGCUUAGGAAUCUGCCUAUUAGUGGGGGACAACAUUCCGAAAGGAAUGCUAAUACCGCAUACGUCCUACGGGAGAAAGCAGGGGAUCUUCGGACCUUGCGCUAAUAGAUGAGCCUAAGUCGGAUUAGCUAGUUGGUGGGGUAAAGGCCUACCAAGGCGACGAUCUGUAGCGGGUCUGAGAGGAUGAGCCGCCACACUGGGACUGAGACACGGCCCAGACUCCUACGGGAGGAAGCAGUGGGGAAUAUUGGACAAUGGGGGGAACCCUGAUCCAGCCAUGCCGCGUGUGUGAAGAAGGCCUUAUGGCUGUAAAGCACUUUAAGCGAGGAGGAGGCUACUGAGACUAAUACUCUUGGAUAGUGGACGUUACUCGCAGAAUAAGCACCGGCUAACUCUGUGCCAGCCGCCGCAGUAA